rnacentral:rRNA from 1 species
ACGGCUCAGUAACACGUAGUCAACCUACCCUUAGGAGGGAGACAACUCCGGAAAACUGGGGCUAAUAUCCCAUAGGUGAAAGCUCCUGGAACGGUCUUACGCUGAAAGGGCGUCGGGAACAUGCUCUCGACGUUGCCUAAGGAUGGGACUGCGGCCGAUCAGGUUGUUGGUAGGGUAACGGCCUACCAAGCCUAUAACCGGUACGGGCCCUGAGAGGGGGAGCCCGGAGAUGGGAACUGAGACAAUGUCCCAGGCCCUACGGGGUGCAGCAGGCGCGAAAACUCCACAAUGCACGAAAGUGUGAUGGGGUUAUCCCGAGUGCCGUCCGUUGAGGAUGGCUUUUCCUCAGUGUAAGGAGCUGGGGGAAUAAGAGGGGGGCAAGACUGGUGUCAGCCGCCGCGGUAAUACCAGCCCCUCGAGUGGUAGGGACGAUUAUUUAGCCUAAAGCGUUCGUAGCCGGCUUAGCGAGUCCCUCGUGAAAUCCGACGAUUCAAUCGUCGGGCGUGCAAGGGAUACUUCUAAGCUAGAGGGCGGGAGAAGUCGACGGUAGUCCCGGGGUAGGGGUGAAAUCUUAUAAUCCCGGGAGGACCACCAGUGGCGAAGGCGGUCGACUAGAACGCGCCUGACGGUGAUGGACGAAAGCUGGGGGAGCGAACCGGAUUAGAUACCCGGGUAGUCCCAGCUGUAAACGAUGCGGGCUAGGUGUUGGGGUAGCCACGAGCUACCUCGGUGCCGCAGGGAAGCCCUUAAGCCCGCCGCUUGGGAAGUACGGUCGCAAGGCUGAAACUUAAAGGAAUUGGCGGGGGAGCACAAU